CUUUUUAUUGACCACUUCUCAUUGCGCCACAUGGCUUGAUAAUUUAAUGACACGAUUACAUUUAAAAAAAAUCAAAAAUUGUAUCCAUUCAAUUGACUAAUUAAAUAAACCGUUUCAGUGAAAUUUUAAAUACGUUUGUGUUCAAUUUGCCUAUAUAAAUUAGAGACACACUGUUCUGUCUGAAGAUUAUUUCCCAUCGACAACUCCAAAACAAUUUCUACAAACGUAGAUGAUGAAAAUUCUUAGCCCCCAAGCCCCGUCAACCAGCCUAUUGCCACCGCCAACCAGUGAAACGGCUACAGUUGGUUCUAGGCAGCCCAACAUGCAAGGACAUGGUCUUCUACUCCUCUUUAUUACACAUCUAGACGACAUCGUUUACUCUCUCGACAGCAUCUUGGUUUUUUAUUUAGUAUGUAUGUAAAGUUGACUUAUAUGUAUCCUUCUCAAUUGCAUUACACACGUUAUGUACAAUUUUGAAGCAAGUCACAUAGUUUAUUAUUAUUAUUAUUAUUAUUGAAAAAUUUGAUGCAAA